GUGGGAGAAAAAACGGCGGGGUGAGACAUCACAGAAGAUGCUUCGGUGGAGGACCGGGAUCCUGUUAGUGGCCUCACGCUGCCGGCCCCCAAACUUAACUAUGCAAACCACAGUCCGGAAACUGAAACUGGAUACAGGAUGCUUAGGUUUAGUGAUUCCCAGAGCACUCAGUUUCCCUUCUAAAAGAUUCAGAUUGGGCGCCAAGAUAGACAAGAAAAUAAAAAUCACCUGAAGCACAACCAUUCGUGCUUUUCUUCAACAAGUCAAGUAAAACCAUCGUGAGGACACCCUCAGUACCCCACAUGUACAGAGGUAACAGAAGUCUUCCUGUUUCCUGAGAGUUCUGAGUGUGGCGAUAUUUUAUUUGUGCACCGCAAUAAAGCUUAUCUGAGGAUCAGAGGAAAAAGCCAACCACUAUAUUAAACCAAAAGGUCAGGCAGGGGUAGCACACGCCUUUAAUCCUAGCACUCAGGAGGCAGAGAUUCAUCGGGAUCUCUGUGAGUUCAAGGCCACACUGGGAACAGAGAUAGGUGUGGUGGCACGUGCCUUUAAUUCCUAGCACUAGUUAACCAUAGAGGUCUGGAAGUCUGUACAGACAGACAGGAAGUAACAGAGUUGGGCGGAAAGAGGAAGUGAGAUGGCAGGGCACAGAAAGGUAUAUAAGGCAUGAGUAUACGGGAAGUAGCUCUCUCUUUGGCUGGGGAUUUCCUAGCGAUAAGAACGUGGCUGGCUUCUUUCUGCUUCUCUGAUCUCUCCGUUUUCACCCCAAUAUCUGGCUUCGGGUUUUUUUUAUUAAUAAGACCAUUUAGCAAUUUGUCUUACAUCUGAGUUUUUUUAAAUGGGGAGCUAUGUCUCAUUUCCACUCAAAGUAUCACUUUAUUUCUGACCACAUCCUGUGGGUAGUUCUGCCAGGCACCUUGCAAACACGCUCCUUGGGUCACCAGGGAGCAAGCUGCUGAAGAACAGCAACUACCUUUGAAACAAGGAGUCUUUUCUGUGGCAUAAGGAAGACUUUCCCCCCCGUGCUGAACAGUAGGAAUCAGAUUGUGAUUUUUCUUCUAUUUUGGCCACGGUGAGGAUUGAACCCACAGCCUCACACGUGAUAAACAUGCUCUCUGAACUGCUUCCCCCAUGUGAAGCCUCACAACACAGAUAACCACUUCAGGAAAAAAGGGACAAGCAGAUGAGAACCAUCUUAAAUAGCACACUAUGAAAGAGCAAUAUCUUAGGGUUUUUAAUAUCAGGAAAACAUUCUGACAGCUUAAUAUUAGGCAUUUCUUUAUGCUCCUGGAAUGCUUUUAUAUGUUCUUGGAAAAUUUUCCAGAAGAGAGACUGAAUCACACAUUCCAUAUGUAUUCAUAAUCAGCCAUGGAAGCAUGUCUUUUUCUUGAUGAUGAUGAAGUCUUCCCUGUGCAUGCGUAGGCAGAUAGCUGCAAAAGAAGGACACUCAGACUACCUGAGGGCACAUGCUUUAGUCUCCCUACCACAGGAGAACACUGUGUUAUUUUAAAAAUCACAUUUCUCUGUUCUUUAUUAUCACAUCACAUUCCACUUCUUUUUAUUUUUAUCAAAGUGUCUUCCUGUAUUUCAUCUGCUGCCUAAUAUGGAUAUCUCUGGUUCUUUUCCCACAGACAAUGCUUGGGUAUGGCAUCUUCCUCUACUCUUUUGAUAGCUAGAGCCCUCCUGCUUCCUUCACUUUGAGUGACUGAAAUUGCCGGGAGUCUGUUUCUUUCUUGGGGUGGGAUGGAUACAUGGGGUGUUUCUGCAGUUUCUACUGUGUGAUAAAAAUCCUGGGAAAAGAUUGUAACUUGCAGAAGUAAAUUACCGAUGUAGGGAAGGAGAAGGGGAUGACAUAUCCGGAUAGUUCAGCCUGAUGCACAUGGGGCUGUGUAGACAAAGUGAGUUACUUACGUGUUGUGAAGGAGAGGAGAAAGAAGACAGAAUCAGUUUCCAUUCGAAUGUUUAAUACAAAUCUGACCCUCCUCACAAAAAUGCUAGAAAUUUGAGGUGACCUACUUAUCUCCCGUAACCUCUAUAGUUUGGAUCUGGAGCAUGCCCCAAAGUCCCGUGUGUCAAGUGCAUAGUUCUCAGCUUGGGAGGUGACAGAAAUUUUGAGAAGCAUAACCUAGUGGAGGGGAGUUUGGGCGGACACUCAUGGGUGAUGUUGGGGAUGCUGGUUUCUUCCACUGCCUUUUUUUCUUUCUUUUUGCUUCUUGCCAACCAUGAUGUGAACAAUCUUCUCUGCCACACACUCCCACUAUGGUGCAAUGUACUAUCAUAGCAUCAGUGUUAUCUACAGAAACAUGGCCAAGUGACUAUGGGUCAAAACUUCUGAACCUAUGAACCCAAAUAAACCAGUCCCGAUGCUUGGGGGUUCAAUUAUAGCAGUGAUUUAACUGCAGUUCAUACAAAUCAUACUGAGAGCAUAUGUAAAAUGCAGAGUCCCAGGUACGUGCCUCCAUUUUUAUCACUCUGAGAUUCUGAAGUAUCACGUAAGGCCAGACAUCUUAUAAUCUCUGAAAAGGACCUGCAGAUAUUCUGCUGCAGGUGAUAUGUCAAGCCUGCACUGUGAGCAUUUCAUCAGUCACAUCAGAUCUAAAGUGAGAUGAAGUGAUGGUAAAUCACAUUGACCAAAGCAUUUAGAAUAUUCUUUCCCUCAGCUUAAAAUUAUUUCUUCAUUAGAAAUAGGUAGUUGGUUCUUUGGUUUCUUUUUUAAAUAUUAUUUAUCUAUUUGAGACAAGAUCUCACUACGUAACGUUGGCUGACCUGGAACACCCGAUUUAGGGUUAUUUGAGUUUUUGACGAUCUCCAUGUGAGAAAUAUUUAUGGCCAAGCUUAGACACUUUAGCUGAUUAUUUAAAUAUGAUUAUCAAGAAAACAAGCGCUAGCAAAGAGGUGAAGGAAUGGAACCUUUACAUAUUGCUGAUGAAAGGCCCAAGGCCAAGCCAGUCUUUUCCAAUCUAUAUAGCCUGAAGGCAAUGUGUGUUGUGGACCUCCCACCCAAUGAGGAAGAAACGAAAAGAGAGGAGGGACUUUCAAAAUAGGCUCUGCCUAUUGAUCGUGCUGGCUGGAAUUUUCCCACUCCUAUUAAUCCCUGUUUUUCUUGAGUCAUUUUAUCUAGGGACAUUGGAAGUACCGAAUUGUUAUGUAACCACAGAUUGACAGUGCCGGUGCCAACACGUCCAUCAGUCCAAAGCCAGGCAGAUUACAGAAUACCGUGCAUCAAAUGCAGCUUAGAAGAAGCAAAAGGGGAAGGGAGGAUGCCGAAAGCUGCAGGAAAAUGUAAUGGAAUUCAGCUACUAUCACAAAAGCUACUACUUGGAAAGGUCAAGGAUAUUUCCGAAGGUCAAGCUAUGGCUUAAGAAGUCUUGGUGAUAUUUUAGCUUUUGUAUAUAUAUUAGCUGACUCCUGCAAUGAUUUCCUUGUAUGCUAUAUAUGCUUCCAAGAACUCAUAACAGUGUAUUUUACCUGAAAUACGUAUCAAGCAUCCAAGGCCAAACGACCUCCUGCAUUAAGGUAUAUUAAGCUCAGAUCCUCCUUUCUUAUACAGCUUUAGUAGUAUUUAUACUAACAUUGUAGACUCCUAACAUUUACCGAACCACCUCUAGGAAUGUAGUUUGAGCACAUAAAUUCCCUUUUUCUGAUAUAUUAACCCAUUUUAGCUUUUAAUUGACCUCCUCCUUUACCACUCCCCUUUUGGGUUGUAAAAGAAAGCCUGACAGUCACUGCCUGAGGAAAACUCUUGUCUGUCUUUAUGACCCUGUCAGAAUUCAAGCCUGGUGACCUUGCUUUAGCUACAGCACUUGCUAUUGCAUGGGUAUAUAACUGUAAACCCCAGAGACUGAGGAGGAUUCUGACUGGAGAACUAGAUGGAGAACUAGAAGAAUGAGAUGGAAGAUGAGGAAGAGCCAGAUGGGUAAGAACGAGAUGAGAAAGACCAAGAUGGGCAGAACUAAGAUGAGAGAAUUAAGAUAGAACUUAGAAGGGACAGCAGUUAAAUGUAGAGAGAAGUCAGGAGCUAGGCAUGAGAACAGAACUGAAGCUGUGUAGAUAGGAUUUUAUCCCAGAGGAAUAAAGAAGACGGACUAAGA